rnacentral:rRNA from 1 species
CGUUGAUAGGCUACAGAUGUAAAGGCAGUAAUGUCACAGUCGAGUAGUACUAAUCAUCCGAAACUUUCUGAAAAG